rnacentral:misc_RNA from 1 species
CCGGAUCCAAAGCUCAAAUCGCCCGCAGGUAUAGGAAGAACCUUGGCAUCAACAAUAGGAUCUGAGACAGGAUCAGUUGGAAUCUCAUGGGCAGACUCACGAAGAAUAGCAUUAAACAUCGCCACAUCUAGCCUGGAAACACACUGUUCCAUAACCAUCCUUGCAAUAACAGGUAGACAACCACACUCAUGACCGCUUGCUCGGACAGGACAAAGUCGUUGAAAAGCAUCCUGG